rnacentral:rRNA from 1 species
AGUGAACGCUGGCGGUAGGCCUAACACAUGCAAGUCGAACGGCAGCACAGUAAGAGCUUGCUCUUACGGGUGGCGAGUGGCGGACGGGUGAGGAAUACAUCGGAAUUUACUUUUUCGUGGGGGAUAACGUAGGGAAACUUACGCUAAUACCGCAUACGACCUACGGGUGAAAGCAGGGGAUCUUCGGACCUUGCGCGAUUGAAUGAGCCGAUGUCGGAUUAGCUAGUUGGCGGGGUAAAGGCCCACCAAGGCGACGAUCCGUAGCUGGUCUGAGAGGAUGAUCAGCCACACUGGAACUGAGACACGGUCCAGACUCCUACGGGAGGCAGCAGUGGGGAAUAUUGGACAAUGGGCGCAAGCCUGAUCCAGCCAUACCGCGUGGGUGAAGAAGGCCUUCGGGUUGUAAAGCCCUUUGUUGGGAAAGAAAAGCAGCAGGUUAAUACCCCGCUGUUCUGACGGUACCCAAAGAAUAAGCACCGGCUAACUUCGU